GUCUAUGGCCAUGCCACCCUGAACAAGCCCGAUCCUGUCUGAUCUCAGAAGCUAAGCAGGGUCGGGCCUGGUUACUACUUGGAUGGGAGACCACCUAGGAAGACCAGGUGCUGAUGGCA
rfam:Pteropus alecto contig12860, whole genome shotgun sequence.